GGAUUUCUGUAAUGAUCAAUGGUGUUGAGCACCUUUUCAUACAUCUCUGAUGGAUGGGUAGCCAAAUGCAGAUAACAUUAGCUUUGCAGUCAUUCAUUUUAAAUUGCUCUUGAAUCACUUGGAAGUAAAUUCCAUUUCAGAGGAAUAAGCUUCAAGUCUCAGACAAAGAGAUAAUGGUCCUAUAUUUUAUGAUAUAAGCAAUAAUAGUUUAAGUCUUAUGAUUCAGAAAUAUAGAAACUUUUCAUGCAUUUGUAAGAUUUUUAUUGACCCCAUAUAAUGUGCUAGACUUAUGGAAAAUGAAAAUGAAAUCAAUAUAGUCCCUGCUUUCAAAGAGUUUCAUCUCUAGUGUUAAGCAUUUAUUGUAUAUUUCUAGUUUUUUGAAAAUUGGAAUUAUAUACAGUGAGAGUUUUUAGUGUAAGAAACAUAAAGGAAUUCUCCCCUGCCAAUUAACACUUAGGGCAAGGUUACUUGUAACACAUAACUCCUCUUCCUUUCCACAGUGAAGAUGAAAGCACUGAUUAAUACAAUUUAAUCAAGAAUAUGCAUAUAAGUAGAUAUGUAAGUGCAGACACACGUUGUGUGUGUUUUUCCAAAUUCAGAAGAGAAAAAAUCAAAUCGUGUCCACCCUCAGGCCCACGCAGAGGCUACAAUAAGAAGCAGGAGUCCAAGGACCGUUCUUCAUCCAGAUAACAUGCUACUGAA
rnacentral:lncRNA from 1 species